UACGAAGGGUGCUAGCGUUGUUCGGAAUUACUGGGCGUAAAGCGCGCGUAGGCGGUCUAUCAAGUCAGAGGUGAAAGCCCUGGGCUCAACCCAGGAAUUGCCUUUGAAACUGAUAGACUAGAGUGUCGGAGGGGAUAGCGGAAUUCCGAGUGUAGAGGUGAAAUUCGUAGAUAUUCGGAAGAACACCAGUGGCGAAGGCGACUUACUGGACACAUAUUGACGCUGAGGUGCGAAAGCGUGGGGAGCAAACAGG
rnacentral:rRNA from 1 species